CCUACGGGAGGCAGCAGUGAGGAAUAUUGGUCAAUGGGCGGGAGCCUGAACCAGCCAAGCCGCGUGAGGGAAGAAGGUACAGCGUAUCGUAAACCUCUUUUGUCAGGGAACAAAGGCGGGGACUAGUCCCCGGAUGAGGGUACCGGAAGAAAAAGCAUAGGCUAACCUCGUUCCAUCAGCCGCGGUAAUAUGGAGGAUGCGAGCGUUAUCCGGAUUUAUUGGGUUUAACGGGUGCGCAGGGGGCCUGUUAUGUUAGUGGUAAAAGCCCGGGUCUCAACUCCGGCGUGCCGUUGAAACUGGGGGGCUUGAGUUGGAGAGAGGUACGCGGAAUGCGCGGUGUAGCGGUGAAAUGCUUAGAUAUAGGGCAGAACCCCGAUGGCGAAGGCAGCGUACCGGUUCCACACUGACGCUGAGGCACGAAAGCGUGGGUAUCGAACAGGAUUAGAUACCCGUGUAGUC
rnacentral:rRNA from 1 species